GAUGAACGCUAGCGGCAGGCCUAAUACAUGCAAGUCGGACGGGAUUCAGGAGCUUGCUUCUGAUGAGAGUGGCGCACGGGUGCGUAACACGUAUGUAACCUACCUUUAUCAGGGGGAUAGCCUCUCGAAAGAGAGAUUAAGCCCGCAUAAAAUCACAGCACAGCAUUGUGUAAUGAUCAAAUAUUUAUAGGAUAAAGAUGGGCAUGCGGAACAUUAGCUAGAUGGCGGGGUAACGGCCCACCAUGGCGACGAUGUUUAGGGGAUCUGAGAGGAUGGCCCCCCACACUGGUACGGAGACACGGACCAGACUCCUACGGGAGGCAGCAGUAAGGAAGAUUGGUCAAUGGGCGGAAGCCUGAACCAGCCAUGCCGCGUGCAGGAAGACGGCCCUACGGGUUGUAAACUGCUUUUAUACGGGAAUAAACCCAGAUACGUGUAUCUGGCUGAAUGUACUGUAAGAAUAAGGAUCGGCUAACUCCGUG
rnacentral:rRNA from 1 species